rnacentral:rRNA from 1 species
GACAGAGGGUGCAAGCGUUGUUCGGAAUUAUUGGGCGUAAAGCGCGCGUAGGCGGCCUUGUAAGUCGAAUGUGAAAUCCCGUGGCUUAACCAUGGAAGUGCAUUCGAAACUGCGAGGCUCGAGUGUCGGAGAGGGUGGUGGAAUUCCCAGUGUAGAGGUGAAAUUCGUAGAUAUUGGGAGGAACACCAGUGGCGAAGGCGACCGCCUGGACGACAACUGACGCUGAGGCGCGAGAGCGUGGGGAGCAAACAGG